AGGAAGAGAAAUCAACCGAGAUUCCGCUAGUAGUGGCGAGCGAACGCGGAAGAGGCCAAACCAAGAGUAGUAAUACUUUUGGGGUUUUGGACAGCGUACGGUAUUAACUGCGGUUAGUAGAAUGAAAUGGGAAGUUCAACCACAGAGCGUGAUAGUCGCGUACACGAAAACUAAAGUUAGCCAGCUGGAUCCAGAGUACCGCCGGACACGUGAAACCCGGUGGGAAGACGGGGGGACCACCCUCCAAGCCUAAAUACUCUCCAAUGACCGAUAGUGUAUAGUACUGUGAAGGAAAGGUGAAAAGAACCCCUGGCGGGGAGUGAAAUAGAACCUGAAACCUUGUGCCUACAAGCACAUAGAGCGCGUCAAUGCGUGAUAUGGUACCUUUUGUAGAAUGGUCCGGCGAGUGAAUGUCACUGGCAAGGUUAAGCUCUUAAGGAGUGCAGCCGAAGCGAAAGCGAGUCUGAAAUGGGCGUUUUAGUCAGUGGUAUUCGACCCGAAACCGGGUGACCUAGCCAUGAGCAGGCUGAAGUGGAGGUAAAACUCCAUGGAGGGCCGAACCCACUCCCGUUGAAAUGGUAGGGGAUGACUUGUGGCUAGCGGAGAAAUUCCAAUCGAACCCGGAGAUAGCUGGUUCUCUCCGAAAUAGCUUUAGGGCUAGCCUCAAUUAACAUUACCGCAGGUAAAGCACUGAAUGAGCUAGGGGGCGAAAGCUUACUGAACUCUAUCAAACUCAGAAUGGCGGAUAAUGAAUGAUUGGGAGUCACACUACGUGAGAUAAGUUUCGUGGUGGAAAGGGAAACAGCCCAGACCCACAGCUAAGGUCCCAAAGUACAGUUAAGUGGAAAAGGAUGUGAAAUUGCGCAGACAACCAGGAUGUUGGCUCAGAAGCAGCCACUCAUUCAAAGAGUGCGUAAUAGCUCACUGGUCGAGUGAUUUUGCGCCGAAAAUUUAACGGGGCUAAACUGUACACCGAAGCUUGGGAAUAUACAUUUGUAUGUUGGUAGGAGAGCGUUGUGUAAGGGGUGAAGUCGUAGCGAAAGCGGCGGUGGACUUUACACAAGUGAGAAUGCCGGAAUGAGUAGCGAGAAUUAUGUGAGAAUCAUAAUGGCCGAAAGACUAAGGUUUUAGAAGGAAGGUUCGUCCGCUUCUAGUUAGCCGGGAGCUAAGGCGAGGCCGAGAGGCGUAGUCGAUGCACAUACGGUUGAGAUUCCGUAGCUACCUUGCAUUUAAGCGAAGGGACACAUUUGAAGGGCAUGACCCGGGCGUUGGUUGACCCGGGCGUAAGGGACCGAAAAUAAGUAGGGAAGCAUGCUUGGAUGGUGGCGAGAAAAGCUUCGUGUAUAUAAGCAGGGUACCCGUACUGCAAACCGACACAGGUAGUCAGGAAGAGGAUUCUAAGGCCAUCGGGAGAAGCGUUGUUAAGGAACUCGGCAAAUUGACCCCGUAACUUCGGAAUAAGGGGUGCUCACGCGAGUGAGCCGCAGUGAAUAGGUCCAGGCAACUGUUUAUCAAAAACACAGCUCUCUGCUAAAUCGUAAGAUGACGUAUAGGGGGUGACACCUGCCCGGUGCUGGAAGGUUAAGAGGAGGGGUGCAAGCUCCGAAUUGAAGCCCCAGUAAACGGCGGCCGUAACUAUAACGGUCCUAAGGUAGCGAAAUUCCUUGUCGGGUAAGUUCCGACCCGCACGAAUGGUGUAAUGAUCUGGACACUGUCUCAACAACGCACCCGGCGAAAUUGUAGUACCGGUGAAGAUGCCGGUUACCCGCGGCAAGACGGAAAGACCCCAUGGAGCUUCACUGUAGCCUGAUAUUGGGUCUCGGUAUUUUAUGUACAGGAUAGGCGGGAGACUUGGAAACCAGCACGCCAGUGUUGGCGGAGUCACCCUUGGGAUACCGCUCUUAAAGUAUUGAGAUUCUAACCUGCAGCCAUGAAUCUGGCUGGGGGACAUUGUCAGGUGGGCAGUUUGACUGGGGCGGUCGCCUCCAAAAGAGUAACGGAGGCGCUCAAAGGU
rnacentral:rRNA from 1 species